rnacentral:rRNA from 1 species
GACGAACGCUGGCGUCGUGCCUAAUACAUGCCAGUUGAGCGCUGAAGGUUGGUACUUGUACCGACUGGAUGAGCAGCGAACGGGUGAGUAACGCGUGGGGAAUCUGCCUUUGAGCGGGGGACAACAUUUGGAAACGAAUGCUAAUACCGCAUAAAAACUUUAAACACAAGUUUUAAGUUUGAAAGAUGCAAUUGCAUCACUCAAAGAUGAUCCCGCGUUGUAUUAGCUAGUUGGUGAGGUAAAGGCUCACCAAGGCGAUGAUACAUAGCCGACCUGAGAGGGUGAUCGGCCACAUUGGGACUGAGACACGGCCCAAACUCCUACGGGAGGCAGCAGUAGGGAAUCUUCGGCAAUGGACGAAAGUCUGACCGAGCAACGCCGCGUGAGUGAAGAAGGUUUUCGGAUCGUAAAACUCUGUUGGUAGAGAAGAACGUUGGUGAGAGUGGAAAGCUCAUCAAGUGACGGUAACUACCCAGAAAGGGACGGCUAACUACGUG